rnacentral:rRNA from 1 species
GACGAACGCUGGCGGCGUGCUUAACACAUGCAAGUCGAACGGAAAGGCCCUGCUUUUGUGGGGUGCUCGAGUGGCGCACGGGUGAGUAACACGUGAGUAACCCGUCCCUGACUUUCGGAUAACUUCAGGAAACUGGGGCUCAUACCGGAUAUGAGCUCCUGCUGCAUGGUGGGGGUUGGAAAGUUUCGGCGGUUGGGGAUGGACUCGCGGCUUAUCAGCUUGUUGGUGGGGUAGUGGCUUACCAAGGCUUUGACGGGUAGCCGGCCUGAGAGGGUGACCGGCCACAUUGGGACUGAGAUACGGACCAGACUCCUACGGGAGGCAGCAGUGGGGAAUAUUGCGCAAUGGGCGGAAGCGUGAUGCAGCAGCGCCGCGUGCGGGAUGACGGCCUUCGGGUGGUAAACCGCUUUCGCCUGUGACGAAGCGUUAGUGACGGUAAUGGGUCAAGAAGCACCGGCUAACUACGUG